rnacentral:rRNA from 1 species
UACGGAGGGUGCGAGCGUUGUCCGGAAUCACUGGGCGUAAAGGGCGCGUAGGCGGCGCGGAUAGUCGGCGGUGAAAGCCCGGAGCUCAACUCCGGGUCGGCCGUCGAUACUUCCGGGCUUGAGCACUGUAGAGGCAGAUGGAAUUCCGGGUGUAGCGGUGGAAUGCGUAGAGAUCCGGAAGAACACCGGUGGCGAAGGCGGUCUGCUGGGCAGUUGCUGACGCUGAUGCGCGACAGCGUGGGGAGCAAACGAGGAUUAGAAG